rnacentral:lncRNA from 1 species
GGAGCUUCCAGAUAUUCUCAUGCAUUGUAUUUCCAGUGAACUUCUAAGGAGUCAACAGUUGACAAACCAAAAGAUCCUACCAAGACCCAAUCAAGAUCCCUCCUUUACUGCAUACAUGAAGAUCUGGAGAAAUACAUUCCCCUGAGAUUUCUUGAUCCUCUAAAUUGGGAUCGAGGGAGUGUCUCUGACCUCAAGAUUGAGGUAUGACUUGAAUUGGGUCUGAGCUCCAAUUUUGUUUUGUCAAUUCACAAACAUUAUUUUCCCAGGGAGGGACAAAGAAGCAUUUUAGGCAUUUUUUUUAAAAAAGAAACAUUUUAGGAAUUAUUAACAUUUUAAAGAAGUAUUUUAAAUAUUAGAUAAAGAUUUAGGUAUCACAUAUUAUAUAAAGAAGACUUUUAGGAAUUAUUAAGUAGAAAAUUGCCUAUUUUUCUAACAACAUGUCUUAGUGUGUUCUCACACUGCUGUAAAGAGCUUCUCUGAGACCAGGUAAUUUAUAAAGGAAAGAGGUUUAAUUGACUCACAGUUCUGCAUGGCUGGGAAGGCCUCAGGAAACUUACAAUCAUGGCAGAAAGGGAAGCAGGCACCUCCUCACCAGUGGCAGGAGAAAGAGUACAAGCAGGGGAAAUGCCAGACAUUUAUAAAACCAUCAGAUCUCAUGAGAACUCACUUACUAUCAUGAAAACAGCAUGAAAGACACUUCCCCCAUAAUCCAAUCACUUCCCUCUCUCUACACAUAGGGAUUACAAUUCAUGAUGAGAUUUGGUUGGGGACACAAAGCCUAACCAUGUCACAACAUUUUGGAUCAUCUCUGUCUUUCUGUUACAAGUCUUUAAGACGAAGCCUAUAGAGAGAGGAGGUGCAUAGGCCAAGUGCGUCCAUCCCAAGUACUGAAGAAUUUAAAAGAUCAUAUCACGAUGGCAUUAUUUGGACAUAAUUUGCAUUGGGUCAGUUUUCUAAAACCUUAUACAUAUGCUCUGAGUGGAUGUAUUAAUAGUUUAUGUAUACCUUAAUAAAAUUGAUUUAAAGUAAACAUUUAAGGACUUUCCUGUGGCUUGUCUUUGUGUCCCUAGAAUUGGUUUAUUUAGUUUUGUCUGACCUGAGUUGGAGGGUUUUUUGGGCCCUGUAUUAGUCUGUUUUCAUGCUGCUGAUAAAGACAUACCUCAGACUGGGGAAUUUACAAAAGAAAGAGGUUUAUUGGUGUUACAGUUCCACAUGGCUGGGGAGGCCUCACAGUCACGGUGGAAGGCAAGGAGAAGCAAGUCACAUCUUAUGGGAUGGAAGCAGGCAAAGAGAGCUUGUGCAGGGGGACU